rnacentral:rRNA from 1 species
ACGAACGCUGGCGGCGUGCCUAAUACAUGCAAGUCGAACGAAACUUUCUUACACCGAAUGCUUGCAUUCACCGUAAGAAGUUGAGUGGCGGACGGGUGAGUAACACGUGGGUAACCUGCCUAAAAGAAGGGGAUAACACUUGGAAACAGGUGCUAAUACCGUAUAUCUCUAAGGAUCGCAUGAUCCUUAGAUGAAAGAUGGUUCUGCUAUCGCUUUUAGAUGGACCCGCGGCGUAUUAACUAGUUGGUGGGGUAACGGCCUACCAAGGUGAUGAUACGUAGCCGAACUGAGAGGUUGAUCGGCCACAUUGGGACUGAGACACGGCCCAAACUCCUACGGGAGGCAGCAGUAGGGAAUCUUCCACAAUGGACGCAAGUCUGAUGGAGCAACGCCGCGUGAGUGAAGAAGGUCUUCGGAUCGUAAAACUCUGUUGUUAGAGAAGAACACGAGUGAGAGUAACUGUUCAUUCGAUGACGGUAUCUAACCAGCAAGUCACGGCUAACUACGUGCCAGCAGCCGCGGUAAUACGUAGGUGGCAAGCGUUGUCCGGAUUUAUUGGGCGUAAAGGGAACGCAGGCGGUCUUUUAAGUCUGAUGUGAAAGCCUUCGGCUUAACCGGAGUAGUGCAUUGGAAACUGGAAGACUUGAGUGCAGAAGAGGAGAGUGGAACUCCAUGUGUAGCGGUGAAAUGCGUAGAUAUAUGGAAGAACACCAGUGGCGAAAGCGGCUCUCUGGUCUGUAACUGACGCUGAGGUUCGAAAGCGUGGGUAGCAAACAGGAUUAGAUACCCUGGUAGUCCACGCCGUAAACGAUGAAUGCUAGGUGUUGGAGGGUUUCCGCCCUUCAGUGCCGCAGCUAACGCAAUAAGCAUUCCGCCUGGGGAGUACGACCGCAAGGUUGAAACUCAAAGGAAUUGACGGGGGCCCGCACAAGCGGUGGAGCAUGUGGUUUAAUUCGAAGCAACGCGAAGAACCUUACCAAGUCUUGACAUCCCUUGACGAUGCUGGAAACAGCAUUUCUCUUCGGAGCAAGGAGACAGGUGGUGCAUGGUUGUCGUCAGCUCGUGUCGUGAGAUGUUGGGUUAAGUCCCGCAACGAGCGCAACCCUUGUUGUCAGUUGCCAGCAUUAAGUUGGGCACUCUGGCGAGACUGCCGGUGACAAACCGGAGGAAGGUGGGGACGACGUCAAGUCAUCAUGCCCCUUAUGACCUGGGCUACACACGUGCUACAAUGGACGGUACAACGAGUCGCGAGACCGCGAGGUUUAGCUAAUCUCUUAAAGCCGUUCUCAGUUCGGAUUGUAGGCUGCAACUCGCCUACAUGAAGUCGGAAUCGCUAGUAAUCGCGAAUCAGCAUGUCGCGGUGAAUACGUUCCCGGGCCUUGUACACACCGCCCGUCACACCAUGAGAGUUUGUAACACCCAAAGCCGGUGGGGUAACCGCAAGGAGCCAGCCGUCUAAGGUGGGACAGAUGAUUGGGGUG